UAAUACGUGAGGGGCGAACGUUGUUCGGUGUCACUGGGCUUAAAGGGUGCGUAGGUGGUUGCGUAAGUAAGGUGUGAAAUCCCUCGGCUUACCCGGGGAAUUGCAUUUUAUACUGCGUGGCUUGAGGACUAAAGGGGAAAAGGGAACUCCAGGUGUAGCGGUGAAAUGCGCAGAUAUCUGGGGGAAGGCCGGCGGCGAAGGCGCUUUUCUGGUUAGUACCUGACACUGAGGCACGAAAGCGUGGGGAGCAAACAGGAUUAGAUACCCUGGUAGUCCACGCCCUAAACUAUGGAUACUACUUAGAAGGCCCUGCAAGGGGCUUUUUAACGGAGCAAAAGCGUUAAGUAUCCCGCCUGGGGAGUAUGGUCGCAAGGCUG
rnacentral:rRNA from 1 species